CCGUGGGUCAUGCCCAGCCCACAAUUCCCUUCCUAUUGGCAGCUGCAGUGUCUGGAGAGGAGCACCGCGUCCUUGGUUGAAAGGAAGCUCGAGCACUUCGGUGGGUCACCGUCCCACCCGUCUGCUGGAGUCAGUUUUGCCACCUGCCUGACCCUGGGCCUUUGGAGCUGGUGACCCAGCAGGCAGGAUCUGCACGCUGUGUGAGCAGGACGCUGUGUUUCCACCCCCUACUGCGUGGAGUGCUAUCCACAGUGAGAAGCUUGAGGUGCCGACUGGGGAGACCUGUGGGGACGGAGCACCCACACGCUGGCCUGAGCAUGAGACUGCAGGCUCCACAGGCACGUGGCCAGCCUUGUCUGUGGUGCACAAAUAACCGUGGACUUCCCUGGCAUCACUCUUCCGUGGCACGGACACCAGAUCCUCAUGUUCACCUGUGCCCUGUGCUAAAAGCUUGAUAGAAAAGCCCUCCAUCGAAUGGUAAUGAAAAGGUCAUGUCUCAGGGCUUGGAAACAUCAUAGCUUCCCCAGGAAUGUCUGGGAAGCGGGUUCUUGUAGCCUGCCGGUAGUCGGUAUGGAAAUAAAUGCAGCAGCCAUGAAAACGUGCCAAUCCCAGAUCUUGGCCCUCAGAAGGAAUAUGAUGGGCACCUGGUGGGCCUUAACAUCCUCAGGCCUGGAAAACCCCCAUCUGGGGAGUUGCAGGCAGAUGCUGCUUUCCAGGGCAGAGCUGCCAUUUCUCUUUGGGGCCACAUCAAUUAGACUCCUUUGGUGCAUCAACGGGGACACUGGCUGUUAGCAGGAGGAUUCCACUGGGAGGAUGGGGGGUAGCUCGAGGAACAGGAAUGGAGGCUCUUUGGCAGAACUAGAGAGCAGGUAGCAAGCACUUCCAGACAGGCUUUUGGGGGCUGCUUUUAGGAUGAGUGAUGGUUUGUUUUCAGCCUUGUUGAAACCAGGUCUGGAUUCUAGGGAAGCGCCUAUCUGAUUCUUCAUCUUGGGAGGAAGGAUCCUUUGGCUGACAAUUCUGCCAUGAAUGGCGGCCAGGGGCUGGGGGUCAAAUAAAAUUCUGAUGCUGGUUUCAGAAGAUGGGGUCUCAUUGCCCAGAGGCAGCUGCCAGGGCAGGCCUCCCCUUUGCCCUGGGGUGGGCGUGGGGUGGCUUCCCAGACCUCUUGGUUCAAUAGCUCUAAGGCAGGGGGCAGGGUUCACCCGGCCUACUCAGACUCUCAGGGCAAGGCCUCUCUAGGUCCAGGGUGAGUGCUCUGAGCAGCUUGUUACCAAACAGGUAAAACGGGUCAUUUAAAAAGCUGAGGGCAAGUUUUUGUCAAUGGUAAUAAACCGAGUGGAUUUUCAGUCCUGGCAGGGGCCCAAAUUCAUUCUUCUAAGGGUGAGGACAAAGGAUUUUGUUGUUGAGAUGGAGAGAGAGAUGGAGAUGCGUGGUGGCUCACCUCCUUCCCCUUUGGAAGCCAGUCGACAGGCAGCAAAGGCCCUUAGAGAGGAGGCCUCAGAGCCCUGGGCGUCCCCGGAACCUUUCGAGAUCAGCAAGACCAAAAGAAUCUUCACAGUGAUACUGAAAUAUGAUCUGCCCUUUCUGGGCUGGACUUGGCACUGAUGGUGCAUGACCAGAGGGGAGGGGAACGGUUCCAAGGCAGACACCAGAUGGCACUUCAAGGACUCUUGACGGCCACACAGGCAGGAGCAAAGCAAACCCAAAUGCUUUGGAGAGCGUCCUGGGUGAGCGUGUCUGUUUCACUCACCCGCUGCCCGAGGCAGGGCCAGCCCUGCGCGUGCUGGGGUCUCAGCUCAGCCCGAUUCUCCCUCCAGACCCCCUUUCACCUAAAGAGUGGCUGGCACACUGUGGCUUUUCACACAGGAGCAGGUGUGGUCGUUUUCUCUGAAGAAGUGACUGUCACUUCAAGGUAACCAACUACCAGUAUUGGUUUCUAAUGAUAAAAUUUGUGCUUACAAGCAAAAAUUCGAAUUUUAGAAACUGGUAUCCACCAUCAUAGACUUAACGGCUUCCACUACUUGAAGAUGUUUCUGGUGAUACUGGUGGUGACAGUGAUCUAUGUAGGCUUUGGGGGGGGGGUAUUUUGGGGGGCACUUAACCAUGGAGCCACAUCCCCAGACCCUUUCUAAAAAAUAUUUAAAAUUUGAGACAGGGUCUCACUAGGUUGCUUACAGAUAUGCUACGUUGCUGAGGCUGGCUUCAAAUCUGUGAUCCUCCUCCCUCAGCCUCCCAAGCUGCGGGGAUGACAGGCGCGGACACUGAGCCCCGAUGGCAUGCUCAGUUUUGAAUGCUGUACAAUGAAGCCUGCUAACCUUGGAAGACCUACUUAACAGUUUGUUUGAAACAAUACUUUCCAAAUAUUGAAUGUAUAAUGUUACAAAGAUUCAUUCAAACUGUAAGUUAGAGGAUUUUAAUGUAACAGAGCUUGAAAAGUUCAUUGAUAUGCUUUCACAUUCCAUGCUAUAAAACCUUUAGAAAUGAUCAUUAGUUGAGUUUUGAUGUGGUAUCAAAGCAAAAUAUCUGUAAUUAUCUGGCAGUAUUAAAAUAUCUUUCCUUUUCCAACUAUAUGUCUGUGUGAGGCUGGAUUUUUCUUCACAUGCUUCAACCAAAGCAAUACCUUGUAAAACACUGAACCCAGCUGUUUUUGAUUAAGCCAGACAUUAAGGUUGUAAAGGUGUAAAGCUACUCCAAAAAAUUGGAAAACAACUGUUUUGUAUAAAAAUGUCCUUUAUGAGCUGGGCGCAGUGGUGCAUGCCUGUAAGUCCAGCAGUUUGGGAGGCUGAGACAGGAGGAUAGUGAGUUCAAAGCCAGCCUCAGCAAAAGCAAGGCACUAAGCAACUCAGUGAGACCCUGUCUCUAAAUAAAAUACAUGGGGCUCAGUGGUCAAGUGCCCCUGAGUUCAAUCCC
rnacentral:lncRNA from 1 species